UGGGGAAUCUUGCGCAAUGGCCGAAAGGCUGACGCAGCGACGCCGCGUGGAGGAUGACGCCCUUCGGGGUGUAAACUCCUGUUGCCCGGGACGAAUGCCUGUUUCGACAGGAGUGACGGUACCGGGUGAGGAAGCACCGGCUAACUCUGUGCCAGCAGCCGCGGUAAUACAGAGGGUGCGAGCGUUGUCCGGAAUCACUGGGCGUAAAGGGCGCGUAGGCGGUCGGGUAAGCGUGUGGUGAAAGUCCGGGGCUCAACCCCGGAUCGGCCAUGCGAACUGUCCGACUGGAGCACGGUAGAGGCACAUGGAAUUCCGGGUGUAGCGGUGGAAUGCGUAGAGAUCCGGAAGAACACCGGUGGCGAAGGCGGUGUGCUGGGCCGUAGCUGACGCUGAGGCGCGACAGCGUGGGGAGCAAACAGG
rnacentral:rRNA from 2 species